rnacentral:rRNA from 1 species
UACGGAGGGGGCUAGCGUUAUUCGGAAUUACUGGGCGUAAAGCGCACGUAGGCGGCUUUGUAAGUCGGGUGUGAAAUCCCCAGGCUUAACCUGGGAACUGCAUUCGAGACUGCAUUGCUAGAGUAUGGGAGAGGGAAGUGGAAUUUCCGGUGUAGCGGUGAAAUGCGUAGAUAUCGGAAGGAACAUCAGUGGCGAAAGCGACUUCCUGGACCAAUACUGACGCUCAUGUGCGAAAGCGUGGGGAGCAAACAGG